ACGUAGGUGGCAAGCGUUGUCCGGAUUUACUGGGUGUAAAGGGCGCGUAGGCGGACUGGCAAGUCAGAUGUGAAAUCCAUGAGCUCAACUCAUGAACUGCAUUGGAAACUGUUGGUCUUGAGUAUCGGAGAGGUAAGUGGAAUUCCUGGUGUAGCGGUGAAAUGCGUAGAUAUUGGGAGGAACACCAGUGGCGAAGGCGACUUACUGGACUAUAACUGACGCUGAGGCGCGAAAGUGUGGGGAGCAAACAG
rnacentral:rRNA from 1 species